rnacentral:tRNA from 1 species
GCCGCCUUAGCUCAGCUGGUAGAGCAACGCUCUUGUAAAGCGUAGGUCGUCGGUUCGAACCCGACAGGCGGCUCCA